UACGUAGGGUGCAAGCGUUAAUCGGAAUUACUGGGCGUAAAGCGUGCGCAGGCGGUUGUGCAAGACCGAUGUGAAAUCCCCGGGCUUAACCUGGGAAUGGCAUUGGUGACUGCACGGCUAGAGUGUGUCAGAGGGGGGGUAGAAUUCCACGUGUAGCAGUGAAAUGCGUAGAGAUCGGGAGGAACAUCAGUUGCGAAGGCGGCUCCUCUGGACCAGCACUGACACUGAGGCACGAAAGCGUGGGGAGCAAACAGG
rnacentral:rRNA from 1 species